GGCCAUCAACAUCAGAGUGGCCGUUAUGCUGCGUGGGUCAGAUCUAUCAGAUAUUCUCCCAUUUUUCCUGGGCAAGGAAUCCUUUGUGGGCUUUUCCUACUGAGUCAUCAGAUAACUGUCAUCCUACAGGAUAUUGUAUUUGAAUUACAGCCAGAGCCAGCUGCUUGUCUCUUGAUAUCCCUGUAAAUUACUUUAGAGAAAUUAUAAUGUCCUG